rnacentral:rRNA from 1 species
UGUACCCUACGGGGCGCAGCAGGGAAUCUUCCACAAUGGACGAAAGUCUGAUGGAGCAACGCCGCGUGAGUGAAGAAGGGUUUCGGCUCGUAAAGCUCUGUUGGUAGUGAAGAAAGAUAGAGGUAGUAACUGGCCUUUAUUUGACGGUAAUUACUUAGAAAGUCACGGUUAACUACGUUCCAGCAGCCGCGGUAAUACGGAGGUGGCAAGCGUUGUCCGGAUUUAUUGGG